UCUAAUGAGGAAUGGGCUUGCAGUUUAAUUAACUUGGAAAGUCUCUGAAAAUGUUCUCAGUCUGUGACCCAGAGACUCCUGCAGCUUGUUGGCUACCCAUACCAGUAAAAAUUUAAGAAAAAAAAUGUUUCACAGAUGCUAUGUAGCAACCUCUGCAUAUGGAAAUUCUAGAGGGGGCCAUACUUUUCAUAGGAAAUUUGUAGGGGUCCACAAAUCAAAAAAGACUGGAAAAAAUGGCUUCGAUCUCAUCUGUUCAGAUGAAAGGAACUGCUGAAGACUGAAGUAGACACAGGCUGCCUUGCCUGUAGGAGCAUCACAAGGGGAACUGGCAUGGAAUUGGUUUGAUGUGACAUGACAGCUCCCAAAAUGAACAUCUAUUCACCCUCCAUGGACCACCAGGAAGUCUUGUUUUUAUAAGAAUAACAGAAUAAAAAGUUAUCUUUAUAGAUGAAUUUUAAAGAGAUGACUGAGAUCCUGAAAAAGAUAUAUAAAUUAUUUUUGAAGUGAUAGGAGAUUCUGUGAAGAUUAGAAUUAGGGGUAUAGAAAUUCUUGGAGAAUAAACCCUGGCAUUUCACAUUUCAGACUGGCCAACUUCCAGAUUUAUCAUCAUAGAAAAAACAGUAUGUUACAUAAGACAGUAAUUGAGGGACUUAUUCUGCAUGAUUACAGAAUAUGGCUAAAAAUGACAUCAUGACCAAUUGCAGUUAUAACUCACAGGCCACAAGCCCAGAAGAGCGUUGAACAAGCAACUUCCAUCUCUUGCUCCUGGAUAACAGUGCUGACUGAAAAAAAAUCACAGAGCCUUUCCUUUUAAAGAAGUCCCUUCUGCCUCUCCAGCUGGUCUUCCACCUGAAUGCAUGGUAUGUGAAGAUGUGGGCAUCAGGAGAGAUGGUCUUUCAUGAGGAUUAUUUAAGGUUUUGGGGACUAACACCUGUAAGUUAUAUGAAGAAAAAAACAACUAUACAAUGCAACCUUAGAAAUUAUUUUGUGGAUGGAGAAACUUGUUAGCUGCUGGGAGUCACUAUCUGGCAUUUUAAAAAGAAUCAGCCUUCUAUCUUGUCCUGUCACAGGGGCACUGGAAGUCAGAAUCUGAAAGAUCUUAGCCAAAUAGAUUUUCCAGCAUCCUGG
ensembl:lncRNA